rnacentral:rRNA from 1 species
AGCACGUUAUGGUGGGCACUCUAAGGAGACUAGCCGGUGACAAACCGGAGGAAGGUGGGGAUGACGUCAAGUCAUCAUGGCCCUUACGGCCUGGGCUACACACGUGCUACAAUGGUCGGUACAAAAGGGUUGACCAAGCCGCGAGGUGGAGCUAAUCCCAUAAAACCGAUCGUAGUCCGGAUCGCAGUCUGCAACUCGACUGCGUGAAGUCGGAAUCGCUAGUAAUCGUGAAUCAGAAUGUCACGGUGAAUACGUUCCCGGGCCUU